CCGAGAUCCGGGAUCCGUACGUUGUCCUUUGACAUCGAGAUCCUUCAGAUUCCCCGGGUGAACGUUAAUGACGUGAUAAUUGGAGGGUGUGGAUAGUGAAGAAAAUUUCCAUUCAACACGUCUACAUUCACUUAUGGCGAACGGAAAUCGCGGGAUUCGAACCUACUGGCAGGAUUCCAAGGAACUGCUUGCUGUUCUCUUUAACGACUGUACCACCUUUCUAGAAGUAUUCUAAUAUUUUCAAGUGCUGAAGCCGAUUACGGAUGGUCGACAAAAGCGCAAACUACUGGAUCCUGAAUGCUGGAUGAGCUGUGAGGCUGGUAAGGCGAGAAGAUGUGGUACCACUGGCAUCUGCAAUACCCCGGAAAGGUUAAUCCUCGAAGGCUGCUGUAGAGAGAACCGCCUUUAUUGGCUAUGUGAAAGCUGUGCAGAACAUCCAAGAUCCGAUGUCGGAUAAGUCCGAAAGUGAUAUUCUGAAAUUUGUACUCACUCUGAAUUAGAGUGAAUGUCAAUCUAACCAACUGCGAGCAGACUGACGAUGGUGAGACAGUAAUGGUAUCUGUGGGGAUGGAAACGUGACGUGGCGUCGGAAAGCUCUUCGCAAUGUGCAUCGUUUAUACCAAGCGAUCAAUUGAUGAGAAGGAAUCGUCGAAGAAUUUAUACAUCAUACGGUUGCGCAUAUUAAGUCAACGGAAAAAGCGUGGCAGUGUCAAAACAUUCGAGUGGGCGGAUUUAAGUGCCUAAAUAGGUGUAAAAUAAGUGAGGCCUUUGAUGAAGUGAAUUACAUAGGAAC